GGAACACCUGCUGAAGGGGUGUGGCUGGCCCAGGGAGCACCUGUGCUCCCCACCGGACUGGAAGAGGUGGACCCAGAGUGAGGCCACCCUGGACUCAUCUAAGAGCCAUCCACUGAGAGGAGAGCAUCUUUUAGAGUUGGGUUGCUUGUUGGGAGGGGAAGAAUGCUAUAUGGCUAGAAAGCUCCUUCAUCACUUGGAUAUUUCCUUCUUUCAAGACCAGAAGAAAGUUGAUACCACAUGAAUGGAUGCUCCCAAACAUCUCUACUCCCAUACUCAAUGUGCUGGAAGAUGUCUAUCAAUCCACACCAAGCAUGCUACGUCAGUCCUGAGAGCAAAGAGGAGGAGGAGAUGACUGUAAAGCAGUUUGAGAGACAGAGGAUGGAAAGCAGGUCAGAGGAGGUCAUGGGUAAAAUCUGCAGACCAACUGAGGCUGAGCAGAGGAGAGUUGGAGAAGAAACAACAACCAACAGGAAAUGAAGCUACAACAAUAAACCUUAUCCUGAAAAA